CUCCCUCUCCCUACUGUGCUUCACAACCGAUCUGAGAUCAGAUAGCAUUGCUGAAGGAGGUCAUCAAUGGCUGAGAUGUGUUCGAUCUAGGGCUUGAUCUGAUCGAUCUUGUAGAGAUUCGGAAGGAGGUCGAGAUCUGGCGUUCAGAUCUGGCGUUCCGAUCACAUGGCCCAUCGGAUUGACGGAAAAAAAAAAAUUUAGAAAUUUCGACUUCUUUGGUUAUUGAUUUGUUGAUUUUGCAGACUUCUUCCUCCUGAAGUGCUUCUGUGGUUCUGUGGUUCUACUUCUUCCCAAAUUUCUGCUUCUGUGGUAUCUGCUUCUGUGGUUCUGUGGUUCUACCUCCUUAAGUGCCCAAACUUUUUCCCAAGAAUCGCCUUCUCUCUGAACAGAGCUCUUCAGGAGGCCUCUGAACUAUCAGCAGCAGCAGGAGAAUGGUGGUUUUUCUUAGGGGUGUGGGAGUGAGUGUUUAGAGAGAUGGGAAAUUGGGUUUAAAGAUUCAAUCCCUCCUUCAAAACCCACCUUCAAAUUCAAACUUUCGAUUCCCUCUCCCUUUAGAUCCGUAGCGUUCCACUCCAAUCCCACCCCAAAUUCCGAAUUCUUGCCGAAGAAAACCCCUGUUUCGCCUCUCUCUCUCUCUCUCUCUCUCUCGCAUUCGGUGUUUCUCUGCUUCUGUUACUUUCUCGGAGUCGUGUGAACAGUGGGAAAUUUAGGGGAAAUUUAUGUUCUUCUCGGAUUCUCUUACCUUUUCGGGAAGAAAGCGGGGAUGAAGAGCUUUCUGUUCUUCCUAGGCACACCAAAGUUAUUGUAACAGGAAACAACAGAACAACAGAACAAGGUGUCGUCAAGAAGGCUGUUGGUCUUGGUGGUUGGCAUUGGCUGGUUGGUGAUGAUAUACGAAUGAUGAUCCAAGUUAGGUUUUUUUUCCAAUCAAUUUGUUUCGUAUGAAUAAAAAUUUCAGCAUCGACAACCACCCUCCCUUCGAACUCGCACUCGC